rnacentral:rRNA from 1 species
UACGAGGGGGGCAAGCGUUGUUCGGAAUUAUUGGGCGUAAAGGGCGCGUAGGCGGUUUGACAAGUCUUAUGUGAAAUCUCUGGGCUCAACCCAGAGUCUGCAUGGGAAACUGUCGGGCUUGAGUAUGGGAGAGGUGAGUGGAAUUUCCGGUGUAGCGGUGAAAUGCGUAGAUAUCGGAAGGAACACCUGUGGCGAAAGCGGCUCACUGGACCAUAACUGACGCUGAGGCGCGAAAGCGUGGGGAGCGAACAGG